rnacentral:rRNA from 1 species
UACGUAGGCAGCAAGCGUUGUUCGGAGUUACUGGGCGUAAAGGGCGCGUAGGCGGUCCUAUAAGUCAGAUGUGAAAGCCCCGGGCUUAACCUGGGAGGUGCAUUUGAAACUGUAGAACUUGAGAUCGAGAGAGGAAAGUGGAAUUACGAGUGUAGAGGUGAAAUUCGUAGAUAUUCGUAAGAACACCAGUGGCGAAGGCGACUUUCUGGCUCGAUACUGACGCUAAGGCGCGAAAAGCGUGGGGGAGCAAACAGG